rnacentral:miRNA from 1 species
CCAGAGCGUGGUGUGCUGCAGC